GACGAACGCUGGCGGCGUGCCUAACACAUGCAAGUCAACUUGAAGGAAGGAGCAAUCUGACCUGAUGGUGCGCAAGGGUGCGUAACGCGUAAGUAACUUGCCCAAGGUAAGGAAUAACGUCGAGAAAUCGGCGCUAAUACCUCAUAAUGCAGCGGAUCCGCAUGGAUAUGUUGUUAAAGGUUUACCGCCUUGGGAUAGGCUUGCGUCUGAUUAGCUAGUUGGUGUGGUAAUGGCGCACCAAGGCUACGAUCAGUAACUGGUCUGAGAGGAUGAUCAGUCACACUGGAACUGAGACACGGUCCAGACUCCUACGGAGCAGCAGUGAGGAAUAUUGGGCAAUGCACGAAAGUGUGACCCAGCAACGCCG
rnacentral:rRNA from 1 species